UAAGAGGGGGAUAACAUUCUGAAAAGAAUGCUAAUACCGCAUGAUAUAUCGGAACCACAUGGUUCUGAUAUCAAAGAUUUUAUCGCUUGAAGAUGGACUCGCGUCCGAUUAGUUAGUUGGUGAGGUAACGGCUCACCAAGACCGCGAUCGGUAGCCGGACUGAGAGGUUGAACGGCCACAUUGGGACUGAGACACGGCCCAGACUCCUACGGGAGGCAGCAGUGGGGGAUAUUGCGCAAUGGGGGCAACCCUGACGCAGCAACGCCGCGUGAAGGAUGAAGGUUUUCGGAUUGUAAACUUCUUUUAUUAAGGACGAAAAAUGACGGUACUUAAUGAAUAAGCUCCGGCUGACUACGUGCCAGCAGCCGCGGUAAUACGUAGGGAGCAAGCGUUGUCCGGAUUUACUGGGUGUAAAGGGUGCGUAGGCGGCUUUGCAAGUCAGAUGUGAAAUCUAUGGGCUCAACCCAUAAACUGCAUUUGAAACUGUAGAGCUUGAGUGAAGUAGAGGCAGGCGGAAUUCCCCGUGUAGCGGUGAAAUGCGUAGAGAUGGGGAGGAACACCAGUGGCGAAGGCGGCCUGCUGGGCUUUAACUGACGCUGAGGCACGAAAGCGUGGGUAGCGAACAGGAUUAGAUACCCUGGUAGUCCGCGCUGUAAACGAUG
rnacentral:rRNA from 1 species